rnacentral:rRNA from 1 species
AUUGAACGCUGGCGGCAGGCCUAACACAUGCAAGUCGAGCGGCAGCGGGAAAGUAGCUUGCUACUUUUGCCGGCGAGCGGCGGACGGGUGAGUAAUGCCUGGGAAAUUGCCCAGUCGAGGGGGAUAACAGUUGGAAACGACUGCUAAUACCGCAUACGCCCUACGGGGGAAAGCAGGGGACCUUCGGGCCUUGCGCGAUUGGAUAUGCCCAGGUGGGAUUAGCUAGUUGGUGAGGUAAUGGCUCACCAAGGCGACGAUCCCUAGCUGGUCUGAGAGGAUGAUCAGCCAAACUGGGACUGAGACACGGUCCAGACUCCUACGGGAGGCAGCAGUGGGGAAUAUUGCACAAUGGGGGAAACCCUGAUGCAGCCAUGCCGCGUGUGUGAAGAAGGCCUUCGGGUUGUAAAGCACUUUCAGCGAGGAGGAAAGGUUGUUGGCUAAUAUCCAACAGCUGUGACGUUACUCGCAGAAGAAGCACCGGCUAACUCCGUGCCAGCAGCCGCGGUAACAC